CGUAGGGUGCGAGCGUUAAUCGGAAUUACUGGGCGUAAAGCGUGCGCAGGCGGUUUGUUAAGAUAGGCGUGAAAUCCCCGGGCUCAACCUGGGAACUGCGCUUAUGACUGGCAAGCUAGAGUACGGCAGAGGGGGUGGAAUUCCACGUGUAGCAGUGAAAUGCGUAGAGAUGUGGAGGAACACCAAUGGCGAAGGCAGCCCCCUGGGUCGAUACUGACGCUCAUGCACGAAAGCGUGGGUAGCAAACAGGAUUAGAUACCCUGGUAGUCCACGCCCUAAACGAUGUCAACUAGGUGUUGGGAGGGUAAAACCUUUUGUACCGGAGCUAACGCGUGAAGUUGACCGCCUGGGGAGUACGGCCGCAAGGUUA
rnacentral:rRNA from 1 species